CACAGUGAUAGAACUCUCAUCUUCUUUCAGCUGAAGACUCCCAUAUUGAAAAAGGUCUGCUGUAUGGAAACUGUUCAAUGUUAUUUCCUUAAUUAGCUGCAAACUUUAGAUAACCGAUAUAACUUAAGACACAAGAGAAUAAGAAACACAAUAUGUAAGUACAGAGCAUACCAAACUAGAAACAAGCCUAUGGAAAAUCAGCUAUAUAUACAUCUCCAACACCUCAAAUUUUUCACUCAUCUUUCUUAAACUGUUUAACCUUUCCACCUGCAUCCUAGAUAUCCUUAUUUCCUCUGCUGUUUCAGUAUAAAUGUGUUCUGAAAAAAAUUGCAAAUAUUGCGAGUUGGAAAAACUAGAGGGAAAAGUAAGAAAAUUUAUAUUCAGAGCAAAUGAAUCCUUUUAUUUCUUUAUGUCUGGAUUUCAUCAUUUCCUGAUUUUUAAUGUAGAAGAACAGUGUGAAUAAGAAACAAAGUUCUGGCAAUGGGUUUGGGUUUUUUUCUGUCUUUUGACAAAUGUUUGCUUCUGUCAAAAUAACCCACCAUAAAACAUAGCUCCCUUGUGAGUUCUUUUUAUACCAAUUAAGUUCAAAUGAAAUGCAGUGGCUUUUCAUUUACUUUUUAAAAAUUAUUAUUAUUAUUAUUUAUUAAAUGUGUUCAGACAGCCUCUGGCUACCAUUAGAAAUUUGCAAAUAAAACAAACGGCUUAUUGAUCUGUGUCAGCUCAGCUCAGAGUCCCCUCCAGGAUAAACUAGACUUGUUCACCACCACAUCCUCAGGCAAGGACCUGAGUAAAUAAAUGAACCAUGCAUCCUGCCCAAAAAAUCAACAGGCUGGGAUACUGUCAGACCAGUGGAGGAAAUGAUACUCACAGGCAGACAGAUCUCUUACUGGUGAGUAGGUAGGUUCCAUGAUGAAAUGUCCCUGCUAAGAAUGACAGGUGAAAGAAUAUCCCUGCUGAUCUUCUGCAAAGGAAGAGAGGAGGAUUGGCAUGUAAUCUGGUAUCUGUCAUGCCUUCUCCCAGCAGUGGGCUCAAAGCUGAGCUCUACAUUCACCCACUGGUAGGAGUACUUUCCACUGAAAUGGGUGGGUAAUUAUGGAUCCAAGAAGAUUUCUGGAGGAAGUAAGUCCCAGGAUUGGCUGUUCAUUUUGCAGAUGCAAAGAAAGGAUACAGAUUUAUGGUGCUAACUGAGCUGCUCUUGACCCUGCUUUGAGAAGUGGGGCUGAACCAGAGACAUCCAGAGCUCCCCCUCCCACCUGAAAGGUUUUGCCAUUUGUAGUUCCCAGGUUCAUAGACUGUAUUACAGAGAAGUGAUAGCAAAACUGAGAUUCUGGUUUACACCAGAAUUGCAGAGAAGGAAAAACCAGGGAGUUCAAAGAUGUUGUAGUAGGAUCAAAGCACUCUAAGAAAAGAAUGUGACCUCAUGGUGGCCUACCAAAUUUGCUCUAGUUUAGUUUAGGAACUUUUUUUCACCCGGUUACUUCAAGUCUGAAAUUAUCCUGUUACGAAUGGGUGUUAACAGGUUAAAGAGCUGCAGACUGAUAAAUGCAGAUCUCAAUCAUGCUUGAUGAGAGGCACUUACAGGCCACAUGGGCUGCUAACAGGACCAUCUAUCAACUCUGUAGGUGUCCAGACUAUAACUGAGGUCCCUGCUCCUGCCAUGGUCAAACAUGACAUUCCCAGUGUUUACAAUGGAUGGAAACUAUGGUGACAAUAAGUUCAGACAUGUGCUCCAGGCAUGCCGUACAAGCAUCACGGAAAGGCUCUGAAAAACUUCCAGCUAAGUAUUUCCAUUGUCACUGUGCUUUUAGACCCUUGCUAAAAAUUCAAGGUAUAACGUAUUAAUUUUUCUAGACAUUUUUCUGAUGUCAGACAAUUAAUUUUUCUGAUUCUCAGACAACCCACAGAAAUAUUGAAGUUUUCACACUGAUACUUUCCCCUGAAUAUACUUGCUUCAAAAGUUGUUUACCAUAAAUUGCCUAUCUGCAAAAAUUUGAGCCUGGUUGUGGCAGGCUUCUAGCAUCAUAUGAUGUCAUUGCUGUUAUCUGAGUUUGAUAAACAGGAAAGCAUUUCCUGCAAGAACUGUUGCACGUGAACUUUUUUGAAUAGCCUCGUGGAAGAACAUUCAAUCAACUUUAUUAAUUCCCUUUCUCUGGGCAUUCAUACCGGUGAAAUAUAGUCACUUCAAUGUUUAAGGAAAGACUGAAAUGUCAAAGGGAAAUAGCAAAUGGCAUAAGCAUAUUUAUUUCAUUGCAGUUACAGAAGAUUCUUGGAUUAUUUUUUCAGUUCUGUUUUUCUGGAAUUUGAAAUAGAUUCAUAAAUUGGUACAUUUCCUCAAAGACUUAAAUAUCAUUUGUGUGUUCACAGAAUGGUACUAUAUUUUCACAGAUUUCUUUGGAGCUUUGUAUUCAGCUCAGGUUAUCAACACUAGGAUUUGUAGGACAGAAAUAGAAAUGUCAUGAGUUUUUUAAAUAACUGGUUUUCUGCUGAGUUCACUAAAUGUACAAAGAAGUAUGCCAAACAUCUCUGUAGUUCAACCACAAAUUUGCAUUUUAUCAUUUCCUCAUUCCAAGCUGCUUAUUUCUCUUUCAUUCUAGGGAUGAAAUGACAAUUUUCUCUUGUAAGGAAAGCAUAGUUCUCAUCAGAACCUUUUAAAAUCUAUUUUAAAAAAACAUUAUAAUGACAAUGAAAAAUACCUGCUUUGGUUAGAGAAUGUACUAUAUUCUGUGAACAGGAUAGGUAUUGAAUUAUGAACAAACAUGAAUAAUAAAAUAUGUUUUAAAGGUUCACUUGAAUUUUACAGCAAUUUUCUACCCAGGUCAACACAUAAGACACUUGAAGUGUUGCCAGUUCACAUAAUUUAAGCUUUAAAGUUUCAAAAGUUGGUGUUCUCCUGUGAAGAUUGAAUUGACCCAUUUGCAAUUGACCCAUUUUGUUGAAUUAUCACCAACAUAUUGAGAAGUGUCCACUGUCUGUGUAAGUGAAAAUUAUACAAUUAUACAAUUUCUUCUGGGACUGAAAUCAUGCAAUUGAGAAUAAAAAUAGUAUCAAAUGACUAAGUUUCAAACAAAACUGACCCAACAGUGAAUAUUUGCAACUCCUAAGUGGAGAAUAUGUAGUAUGUUAACAUUGAAAGCAGAACUAUUGAAAUCACUGGGUACAGCACUUGCCCCAAACAAUAUGAAAGUCUGAUACAUAAAAGAGUUAAAAAAAUCUCUCAGGAAUGAUUGCUCCAGAAAAGUGUGUAUGAACUACCUCUUUUCCCUCUGCAAGUCAGAGUGAAGGGAAGAGAGAGGUUGUACAGGCCUAUUACUAUCCUUUAGUACAAAGACACUGAUCACUCUGUCCUAUGGAACGUUCAUUACUAGAGCAUGACAACAGCUAAUGCACCUCUACAUUGGAAGUUGUAUUAUUAAUGGCCCUGCUAAUAGCUGGUGACAGUGAGAGAGUGAAUUUCCACAGUUCACAGCCCUUUGUAAGUCUUCUUCUGGAACAUUUUUCUCCACUAUCAUCACCCAGGCUCCCCCUCUGACCUCUUUAUCAGUCAGUGAGUGGUACCAGAGGUUUAAGACACAUAAUCACUGCAGCAUGCCAUGUGUGCUCUGCAGAGCAACACAACAGAUGGAGAAACUAGGAAAAAAAACCCCAAUGCUUAAAAAAAAAUAUAAAUUCCUAGAAAUACAUUAUGAGGUAAUGAUAAUGUAAUUUAUUUCCAGUUUUAUUCUUUUGCGCUUACUUCACAUGAAUUUUCAUGUUUCAUCUUCAAGUGAAUCUUCUUACUUACAGCUAUGCAGCCUGAUCUAAAAUUCACUGUGGGCAGUGGAAAUGCAGCCAAUGACUUCAGUAGACUUUGGAUCAACCCCGUAUUUACCUUAGAUAGAUUUCCUUGGUUUCCUUGACUCCUACACAUGAAAUCAAAGGACCUGAACCUGGCUUAUCUAUAUAUUUGAGGAAUACAGAAGUAACAUUAAAAGAAAACACUAUUAUGUUCACUUCCACUUCUGCUUCACUUUCAAGGGGAAGAGAAGUAGCUGCUCAUUGCAUCACCUCUGUAAUUAAAGGAAAUAUAAACAGCUAUAUGUUACAGUUUAUUUCAAGCAUACUUUAUGUUCAGCAAACCUUAUAAAACUGAUACUUUUUGCUCCCAACAUUUUGCACCACAGAACAAGUAGUUGAAUUUGUUUGCUACAGUACAGAUAAUGUUACACAGAUGUUACUGAAGUACAGCACUGGCUCUUGGACUGUAUUUGGCAUUUGCAGGAGCACUGGAGUCUUCCAAGGCAUUUGAAGCCUUGCACUUGGCCUUUCACAGAAAUGUACCGAAACACAGUGAUACUGCUGGUGGUUUUAACAGGGGGGGUUGGUGUAAUGUUAUGCUCCACAUGAGACAGCAAAAGCAUCACCUCUCACUACUCCAGCUCUUGAAACUGCCAAAGCCUCUUUAGGCUCUGUUUUUACCAUUAAUGCUAUUAAAGGUUACUGUACUUCCAUGUUACUGUACUGUACUGAAGCCUAAGUUAUGAGGUUGGCAAAACCAUCCUGAGUAUCUUCUCUCUAAGAAGAAAUAAUAUGAAAACAAUAUAAAUACUUGACUAUCAAUUUCUAGUAAUGCAGAUUUUGAGUUUGCAGUUGAUCUGUUCAGGGAGGUUUAAAACAUUUUUUUUCAGCAGCACCAAGGAAUUUGUAUUGCAUUUCUUUUUCUAUAACUAAAAGGUCAGUGAAGCUAUUUUCAAAUCUGCUUUACAGGAGAAGUAACUUUAAUCUUCCUGUUAUUACCCUUGGUGUUUUUCAGCAUCCUAGAAGAACACCUGAAUGAAUCACUCAGAGUUAAAAUUUUGAAGUAAGUUCUUAACGGAACAUUUUAGUUGGUUUGUUUCCUUAAUACAAAAUUUGUAUAUAAUUCUUACGCAAACUCAGAAAAGCUGUAUUAAUAUAAUUAAUAUUCAACUAGCUUAAUACAAAGAACUACCCUGGUUUGCACAAUAUUGCUGAGUACUGGUCAACAAAGGAGAAUCUAUACACUUUUUCCCCUUUUCUUUUGGUUUGAUUAUUAAUACUGGUGGUAUUUUUCAGCUUUAUUUGGGGCACAGGGGAAUUGAGGAGGUAUCUUUUCCUUUUUUUUUUUUUUUUCCCCAGGAGUGCCAACUCUAACGGUCAGGUCAAUAUAUAAAACACCCUGAUUAACAGGACCCAGAAGCUGUUCUGGAAGCACUGAGACUAUUGGCUUCCCAAUAAUGUGUCAUAUCAUUGGAAAUGAUUCUGAUAUUUCAGCAGCUGGAAGAUACCGGGGCUCUUUCUCUGCCUUAGCAGCUAUUUCUGGCUGCUUACUUUAAUGGGAUUUGGAGGAUCUUAACUUUCUCAGAGAUUGUUAUUCCUAUGUCAAAUAAAUCAAUGAAUUCAUUGGGAGAUGGGGCAGGAGGACUGGUCAGGCACAACCAGACAUAUGCAGAUCAAGACAAAAGUCUCAUUUCUUGAAGACAUCAGAGGGAAGAUAAUCUAUUAUGUUAUAUUCUAGAAGAGCUGGUAUUUCUGAAUGUUUUUCAUGGGUAGCAUACAGCUCCUUGCACUGGGCUGUCAGCAAGAUGCCCAAGGUAAAAGGUGGUUUGCAAGCCUGCCUUCUCAGCAGCUUCAUGGGGAGAGAGGGGCAGCUGCCCUGAGCCAGCCCUUCCUUUGUCCAGGACUAGACCUUUCCAGGUGCAGCACAUGCUGGCCCCACUCCAGCAAAGCACUUAAGCUCAUGCCUAACUUUCAACACAUCAAUUACUCAUGGAGAAGUCAAGCCCAAAGAAGCUGCUGGUGCAGAAAUAGCAGUGAAAAGGAAAUGAGGAAGUGGUGACCUUAUUGCCUCUCUUUCCCAAUGGACCUGUCUGCAGACAUAUUUCAGGGCCUUGGGUAAAAUGAUCGUGGAGGCUAAUAGGUCAAUGACCUGCUACUCUGUCCUUAGCCCAGCCCCAACCUUUGCAAAAGAGAGGGGAAGAGAGUGGGGAAGAUCAUUACAGUUUUUCAGAUGUUAUCACGCUUGAUAAGACAAAGCUUUGCUUUCAGGAAUUUCUCUUCCCUAGUCUGCUGCAGAGAAAAUAUGGCAAUUCAGAGAUCUGUAAUGGCAAAGAGGAAAUUCACAGUCUUUUGUUCUUGCUCUUCCACUCACAUCUGUGACAGGUUUCCUUUCUCCCUUAAGCUAUUCCAAUUUCUAGCUCUGCAUGUGUCAAAAUAAGUUUCCAAAGCAAAUCACGAAUGUAUGUGGUAAUUAGAGCUGUCAUUUUUUUGUCAGGGGAAGGCACUCCCCUUCCCUAAGAAGAGUACACCUCCCUGUCAACGGCAUACUGUAGUGAUGAUAAAGAAUUUAACAUUUGUCUCUUUGGUUAAUUAAUUUUGUUUUCCUUUUCCCUUGAAAGAUGGGAUAAGAAAAAAGAGGAGAAUUGCCUGAUGUUGUUGCUAUAUGGACCCUUCUCUGUUUAAAAAAAUCUUGGAAAAUGCUGUUGAGAGGUAGACAACUAUGCAUAACCACUAAAACACACAAAAGUGAACCUCAAGUCAUCUUUUCAGACAUGUGGAGACCUGAAUUUAAAGAAAAUUUUAAAAUAAAUAUUCAAAAAUUACAUUCAGAAGAAUUGAAAUGCAACAAAUUGAAGGGCAAGAUCUGUUCCUUCAGAUCGCCAGCAACAUGACAAAGAUUUUCUAAAUGUUUGGAGGAGUAUCUUUAGAAAGACAUGCUGCCCAGAUCCUCACUCUUCCAAAGAAUUCCUCAGGGACACAUCUGAAGCUUCCUUCACAAGACACAGUAAUAACAAGCUGAUCAUAAACCCACUCUCAGAUGUUUUUGUAGUUUUUUAAUGUAUUUUGUAAUAAUGGCAACAUAUAUGGAGAUAAUUAUUUCAAAAAUUAUUUGUGGGAGUUCAAGUGCACACAAAAAGAAUUUAUCUUCCAACUAAACUUCCCUGUUUUAGUUUUAUAUGUAAAAUAUAUGUACCAUAUAUGACUCCCCAGCUUUUGUAAAACAGUUUUCUCUGGGGCACUCACAGCACUUCAUGGGAAAUUUCAAUUAAAAUGGAGUCAGAGAUGUGUUUUAGAUGCAGAAAGAGUGGAUAGGUGUCUAAAAUGCAUACGGCAGCAUGGAAGAAUGGGCUUUCUAAUCAAUGUGCAGGACACUUGCAUUCAGAUUUGCUCUCUUACUGCUGUCCAAUCUACUUGUGGUGAACCUCUUACUUCCAGUGCCCAGCGACCAGUUCCCAGCUCCAUAGAGGGAAUCACUAUGAGUCCUUUCUUCUAUCUUUCUUGGAUAUUUUGCAGCAUGGCAUUUUAUUAGUGUGCUGGGAAUACUAUGAAGCUUGAAGCACAGUGAAGGCAACAAGCACGGGAAGGCUCUCUGAGGUGCCACUCAGCUGUGGGGUUUGAUGGUAAAGUCAGUCUAAGGAUUUCUGCCCAUUUAAUCUGCUUGUCCCUGUCUGUGUACUGCAAUUCACUGCCCUGUCAGUUGUUCCACUCUGAAUUUUUCUGAAAGAUGCUGAAAGUAGAUCAGGGAACUUACCUAGUUAAAAGUAAGUCUCCUCUCACCAACAUAAUUUUUCAUUCAGUUCAGUGCAUAGAUAGGGACAGUGUGGUCCUAUCAACAGAUCUUAGCACAAGUAAGAUCUCACAAGGGCUGUGAGACAGCCCAGGGGUGGAAACAAAGACUUUGGGUGAUCUUAAAUUAGUUUAGUCAUCAUUUCAUUUUGCUGUAGCCCGAGCAAAACUUUGUAGACUGGAGAAUCAUUAAAUGCUGUUAUACAAGUCUGUGCUCCAACUCCAUUGUGAAAUUUUGUCCUUCUGCAGGAUUUCUGAUCAAGUACCACAGCAGCUCUUUGCAAACAUUAAGUGUCCCUACAACACACCUGGCAGGCAGAUACAAUAUCCUCUUAUCAGAUGGGCAAAGUGAACUGCACAGCGAUUGUGACUGGCUCAGCCAUGCAGCAUGAACCAACAGGAGAAGCAACAAGAACUAGAAAGUCCCAGCUGCUGGACUGAUGUUUUGACUACCAGGUUUCUGCUGGAAACCAGUGGCCACUUGCAGUAACUGCCAAUACAGAGAUGCUUCAAGCAGCAAUAGGAAUGGGAUAAGGAGUAACAAUGAUACGACUUGCAUAUGGCUUUCAUUAAACAGAGUUUAUAUUGGAUUAAAGACACAAUUUUGAGUCUUCAGCAAAACUGCUUGAAAUAGUUUAAUCUAAUCUUGAAGAGGCUUUUUGACCAAAUCAAACAUUUUGCUGCAAAUUUUGCAACUCUAUUGAAAGUUCCUGGGGGAUUCUGUAUUUGAAAAAAAAUUUUUAAAAACCCCAACCCUCUCCCCCACCCCCACCAAAAAAAAAAAAAAAAAAAAGGGGAAUCUCAAUACAGGAAUGUUUGUAAGUCUUAUCACUGAAAAUGAGAUAUAUUUUAUAGAAAGUGCAUGUUAUACUUUUAAGAAUAAUUCUUAUUUUUGCCUGGUCUUAUCAGCAGAAUUUGUCAUUGAUUAACAUGAGUGAGUGAGCUACAAAUAAUGUAAAAAGCAAAAUGCUUUUCUGUGUUACAGGAAUAACAAGAAAAUACUUAUUCCAGUGACAAAACUAGUGGUAAUCAGCUUUUCUUGAAAGAAAGCUUGUUUCAUCUGGUAUUUGGUGUCUAUCUUCAAACUUUAAAAUAUUAUUGUUUUCAUAGCAAAAUUAUUGUCACGUGGAAUUGUUUUUGUUCAGGGAUUUUGGGAGCCUAAAAGUCAAAAGAUAAUUGUAUUAUGCCAGAAGUUACCAUUUUCACAUACAUUCAUACACAGCCUCAUCAAGGCACAUACUACUUGAUUCACAAUGCACAAUCCAAAUAAGGUUAUAUACGUUUGCAACUCUAUUUCCUGCUAUAUUCUUGGACAAACACACAUAGGUAAUCUCAUGGAUAGACACUUAAGCUAUGAGUGAACAAGGUAAUUAUAAUUUUGCCUUUGCACAGUCAAAAGAAGUAAAGGAAUUGCCUUGCUAGGUUUUUGAGCCUAUGUGUGAUUGGUUAAAUGCCCAAACUAACUGAACUUUAGCUGCACUUUCCUUCUACUUUAGCUGCACUUUCCUUCUAAAAUUCAGAAGUAGCUGGGGACCUCAGUAUCCAGUAGAGAGACUCAAAACCCACUGAAGCUGACACCUUGAAGGACAGGGAAAUCUCUUCUGAUUGCAGCCCAUUAAAAAAAAAUUGUUUAUAAGCAUAGAAAAUAAUAUUCAUAUUUGCAUAAAUGAUGGUAACAAGUGGUGAGGGAGGUUAAUGGAAGGGAUGGAUCUUGCAAUUCUAAAGAAAAUAACAAAAAGCAAAUCCCCUCAAAAGAUUCAGAAGUCCCAUCAGACCAAAACCAAAUGUUUUCAAAAUCUGCAAAAACCUUCUGGUAUAAAAUAAUUUCAAGUUUCAAUGACAGUGUGGUUUCCAAUAAACUAUAAAUCACUGUACACAGAGGUUUCUAACUGGCAAGUGGCAAAUACAUGAAGGCUGUUUCUCCAUGCUUUUGGCUUAUUCAAAUUCAAUCUUUUGUAAGGAAAUAAGAUUUAUAUAACAUUUUAUUUCUCAGCCCUUUUUAUCUCUCUGAUGCCUGCUGGAUAACUUCAGUUGAAGUUAAGAGAGCUCUAGAGGCCUGGAAUGAUUGUGGUCCUAAAUACCCUUUGAAUAUCACUACCCAGGUACUGGAGAGAAGCUCAGAGGCACAGAAGAGCUGUGAUAGGAGAACAACUGCAUCACCUGCUGCCAGGAACACUGAAGAGUCGCAGGCAGGAAAAGACUUGUCUUCGAACAGUGCAUCCAUGACAGUGGCAGGAAUGGAGAAAGCUGUAUACAAAAACGGCAGGAAUAACCUGCAUUAUACAAGCAUCUGAGGAUUCUUCCAUAGGGACCCAUGGAAGUCAAAGUUAUCCCAUCAUACAUAGACUGAGUGAAAUUUCCACUGGUAAAAGACCAUACUUUUCCUGUGAAAGCAUUUCCAUUUAACCUCUUAGGAUUAGAAGAAUGGAACCUCUUCCUAUUCUUCUGAGAAGCAGUGCAUACGGAUGCUGAAGGGGUACAUCUGUGAGAUCUGGUCAGGAUCUUCCCAGUAAGCAGAUUUCCUAUAUUUUCACAUUUAAACUGUUUGUUCCUUCUUUUAUUUGAAAAUAAAAAGUAUUUCUUCCAAAAGAUGAUGAACCAUACAGUAACCUGGUAAUGAUACCAAAACAAGUCCAACCAGGAAAGGGAGUAAUAAUAAUAAUAUUAAUAACAACAACAACAAUAAUAAACACAUAUACUUCUGUGCCCAAGAAUUUUGAUGUCUUAGAUCCUCUGGUGUUAUUUUGUGUUCUUAUUUUUUGCUGCAUCCUGUGUCACCUAUGUCAGCUACUCCCCUGGCUCUCAGAAAAGCGUUUUACAGCCACUA